rnacentral:rRNA from 1 species
GUGGCACGUUUGCGGUAUUAUUGGGCGUAAGAGCUCGUAGGCGGUUUGUCGCGUCUGCUGUGAAAUCCGGAGGCUCAACCUCCGGCCUGCAGUGGGUACGGGCAGACUAGAGUGCGGUAGGGGAGAUUGGAAUUCCUGGUGUAGCGGUGGAAUGCGCAGAUAUCAGGAGGAACACCGAUGGCGAAGGCAGAUCUCUGGGCCGUAACUGACGCUGAGGAGCGAAAGGGUGGGGAGCAAACAGGCUUAGAUACCCUGGUAGUCCACCCCGUAAACGUUGGGAACUAGUUGUGGGGUCCAUUCCACGGAUUCCGUGACGCAGCUAACGCAUUAAGUUCCCCGCCUGGGGAGUACGGCCGCAAGGCUAAAACUCAAAGGAAUUGACGGGGACCCGCACAAGCGGCGGAGCAUGCGGAUUAAUUCGAUGCAACGCGAAGAACCUUACCAAGGCUUGACAUAUACGAGAACGGGCCAGAAAUGGUCAACUCUUUGGACACUCGUAAACAGGUGGUGCAUGGUUGUCGUCAGCUCGUGUCGUGAGAUGUUGGGUUAAGUCCCGCAACGAGCGCAACCCUCGUUCUAUGUUGCCAGCACGUAAUGGUGGGAACUCAUGGGAUACUGCCGGGGUCAACUCGGAGGAAGGUGGGGAUGACGUCAAAUCAUCAUGCCCCUUAUGUCUUGGGCUUCACGCAUGCUACAAUGGCCGGUACAAAGGGCUGCAAUACCGCGAGGUGGAGCGAAUCCCAAAAAGCCGGUCCCAGUUCGGAUUGAGGUCUGCAACUCGACCUCAUGAAGUCGGAGUCGCUAGUAAUCGCAGAUCAGCAACGCUGCGGUGAAUACGUUCCCGGGUCUUGUACACACCGCCCGUCAAGUCAUGAAAGUCGGUAACACCUGAAGCCGGUGGCCUAACCCUUGUGGAGGAGCCGUCGAAGAGCAUAGGAAGACCAAAA